GAGUUUGAUCCUGGCUCAGGACGAACGCUGGCGGCGUGCCUAAUACAUGCAAGUAGAACGCUGAAGAGAGGAGCUUGCUCUUCUUGGAUGAGUUGCGAACGGGUGAGUAACGCGUAGGUAACCUGCCUGGUAGCGGGGGAUAACUAUUGGAAACGAUAGCUAAUACCGCAUAAAAUUGAUUAUUGCAUGAUAAUUAAUUGAAAGAUGCAAUUGCAUCACUACCAGAUGGACCUGCGUUGUAUUAGCUAGUUGGUGAGGUAACGGCUCACCAAGGCGACGAUACAUAGCCGACCUGAGAGGGUGAUCGGCCACACUGGGACUGAGACACGGCCCAGACUCCUACGGGAGGCAGCAGUAGGGAAUCUUCGGCAAUGGGGGGAACCCUGACCGAGCAACGCCGCGUGAGUGAAGAAGGUUUUCGGAUCGUAAAGCUCUGUUGUAAGAGAAGAACGGGUGUGAGAGUGGAAAGUUCACACUGUGACGGUAUCUUACCAGAAAGGGACGGCUAACUACGUGCCAGCAGCCGCGGUAAUACGUAGGUCCCGAGCGUUGUCCGGAUUUAUUGGGCGUAAAGCGAGCGCAGGCGGUUAGAUAAGUCUGAAGUUAAAGGCUGUGGCUUAACCAUAGUAUGCCUUGGAAACUGUUUAACUUGAGUGCAGAAGGGGAGAGUGGAAUUCCAUGUGUAGCGGUGAAAUGCGUAGAUAUAUGGAGGAACACCGGUGGCGAAAGCGGCUCUCUGGUCUGUAACUGACGCUGAGGCUCGAAAGCGUGGGGAGCAAACAGGAUUAGAUACCCUGGUAGUCCACGCCGUAAACGAUGAGUGCUAGGUGUUAGGCCCUUUCCGGGGCUUAGUGCCGCAGCUAACGCAUUAAGCACUCCGCCUGGGGAGUACGACCGCAAGGUUGAAACUCAAAGGAAUUGACGGGGGCCCGCACAAGCGGUGGAGCAUGUGGUUUAAUUGGAAGCAACGCGAAGAACCUUACCAGGUCUUGACAUCCCUCUGACCGCUCUAGAGAUAGAGUUUUCCUUCGGGACAGCGGUGACAGGUGGUGCAUGGUUGUCGUCAGCUCGUGUCGUGAGAUGUUGGGUUAAGUCCCGCAACGAGCGCAACCCCUAUUGUUAGUUGCCAUCAUUCAGUUGGGCACUCUAGCGAGACUGCCGGUAAUAAACCGGAGGAAGGUGGGGAUGACGUCAAAUCAUCAUGCCCCUUAUGACCUGGGCUACACACGUGCUACAAUGGCUGGUACAACGAGUCGCAAGCCGGUGACGGCAAGCUAAUCUCUGAAAGCCAGUCUCAGUUCGGAUUGUAGGCUGCAACUCGCCUACAUGAAGUCGGAAUCGCUAGUAAUCGCGGAUCAGCACGCCGCGGUGAAUACGUUCCCGGGCCUUGUACACACCGCCAGUC
rnacentral:rRNA from 1 species